GAACAUUCAGUUGGGAAAAUAAAUUGAAUAAAUGAAUGUAUUAAUGUUAUGAAAAAACGUUCUCAUAAUACAGACACCCCUUAAUACAUCCGUGGGAAGGAUGGUUUCCAUCUUGUAAUUCGGUAUCCAGCUGUUAUAAUAUAUUAAUGGGACGUAGAAGGGAUGAAUUUCGUUUAUUAUUAUAAUCGGUCCUAUUGGUGUUUGUGUCUGGUUCGGCACCAUGAAGAUAAACGAACACCAAUGGAGGGACACAAAGUUGUGUUGGUUCCUUACAAUGCAAACCACGUGACCAGGUAUCAUGAAUGGAUGAAGUGUCCUGAGCUGCAGCAUCCGACUGCCUCAGAGCCACUGACCCUGGAACAUGUCAUAGUGCACAUUCAUCGUCUUGGAUAAACAGCAAUAGGCAGAUCCCAGUAUAGAAGAGGAGCAGUGCACAGUGGGAGAUGUCAACAUGUUCCUGGCCGACCCAACAGACCUCUCCUCGGCUGAGCUGGAGAUCAUGAUAGCAGGUUGAUUCUCCAACUAAUGAUGAACACGGCACAAGACUGAAUUGCAGAAAAAUGGGCAGUAAUUCAAGAGGUGUGGAAAUGUUCAACUUCUACACAGUGAAUUUUAAGUUUCUGUCUUCCUGCUCGAAACCUUCUGAAAGAUGGGAUCAGAUGCUCACCGUAGUGCGAUUCCCAACAGUGUUAUUUGGCUCAUCAAUUAAACAUUUGAAAUGAGAUCACAUUUGCCUCCAGCCUACUGAACACCCACCAUUCAACAUCUUUUAAGCUAUGGGUUAUUUAGACUUGAUUGAAAAUGUCAGGCUAAGCAUAUAGCUAUAGCCUACUACAAUCAGACGUGCCAAAUAAAAAACAGU